AUUGAACGCUGGCGGCAUGCCUUACACAUGCAAGUCGAACGGUAACAGGUUAAGCUGACGAGUGGCGAACGGGUGAGUAAUAUAUCGGAACGUGCCCAGUCGUGGGGGAUAACGUAGCGAAAGCUACGCUAAUACCGCAUACGAUCUACGGAUGAAAGCGGGGGAUCGCAAGACCUCGCGCGAUUGGAGCGGCCGAUAUCAGAUUAGGUUGUUUGUGAGGUAAAAGCUCACCAAGCCUGCGAUCUGUAGCUGGUCUGAGAGGACGACCAGCCACACUGGAACUGAGACACGGUCCAGACUCCUACGGGAGGCAGCAGUGGGGAAUUUUGGACAAUGGACGCAAGUCUGAUCCAGCAAUGCCGCGUGCAGGACGAAGGCCUUCGGGUUGUAAACUGCUUUUGUACGGAACGAAACGGUGAGCUCUAAUACAGUUUGCUAAUGACGGUACCGUAAGAACAAGCACCGGCUAACUACGUGCCAGCCGCCGCGGUAA
rnacentral:rRNA from 1 species